rnacentral:rRNA from 1 species
UGAGGUUAAUACUCGAUAGAAGAUGUACCCUGGAAUGAUUCAUCUCUCAAAUUCGAGCCUUAGGAUGGGUCUGCGGCCGAUUAGGUUGUUGGCGGGGUAAAAGCCCACCAAGCCAAUGAUCCGUAAGGGCUCUUAGCGGAGAGGCCCUGAGAGGGAAUCUGAGACACUAUUCCCAGCCCUACGGGGUGCAGCAGUUAGGAAUCUUCUGCAAUGCGCGCAAGCGUGACAGAUUGAGUCAGAGUGAUUUUCAUUUGAAAAUCUUUUGCCAAAUGUAAAAAGUUUGGCGAAUAAGGACUGGGUAAGACGGGUGCCAGCCGCCGCGGUAAUACCCGCGGUCCAAGUCGCAGCCAUCAUUAUUGGGUAUAAAACAUCCGUAGCUUGCUUAAUAAGUUUCUUGUGAAAUUCCAUGUCUUAAAUAUGGAGCGGGCAAGAAGUACUGUUGAGCUAGAGACUGGAAGACGUAAGAAGUAUGUUUGGAGUAGCGGUAAAAUGUGUUAAUCCCAGACAGACUAACAACAGCGAAGGCAUCUUACGAGGACAGUUCUGACAGUAAGGGAUGAAGGCUAGGGGCGCGAAAGGGAUUAGAUACCCCUGUAGUCCUAGCAGUAAACACUGCACACUAAACACUAGUACCUCCUCGAGAGGUAUUAGUGCUGUAGAGAAGUCGAAGAGUGUGCUACCUGGGAAGUAUAGUCGCAAGGCUGAAACUUAA